rnacentral:rRNA from 1 species
UACGGAGGGGGCCAGCGUUGUUCGGAAUUAUUGGGCGUAAAGAGCUCGUAGGCGGUUUGUCGCGUCGAAUGUGAAAACCCGGGGCUCAACCCCGGGCCUGCAUUCGAUACGGGCAGACUAGAGUUCGGUAGGGGAGUCUGGAAUUCCUGGUGUAGCGGUGAAAUGCGCAGAUAUCAGGAGGAACACCGGUGGCGAAGGCGGGACUCUGGGCCGAUACUGACGCUGAGGAGCGAAAGCGUGGGGAGCGAACAGG